rnacentral:rRNA from 1 species
UACGUAGGGUGCAAGCGUUGUUCGGAAUCACUGGGCGUAAAGAGAGCGUAGGCGGGAUCGUAAGUUAGGAGUUUAAUCCACGGGCUCAACCUGUGAUCGGCUUUUAAUACUGCGGUUCUUGAGUAUGGGAGAGGGCGAUGGAAUUCCAGGUGUAGCGGUGGAAUGCGUAGAUAUCUGGAAGAACACCAGUAGCGAAGGCGGUCGCCUGGCCCAAUACUGACGCUGAGGCUCGAAAGCUAGGGGAGCAAACAGG